rnacentral:rRNA from 1 species
GGUCACUGCUAUUGGGAUUCGACUAAGCCAUGCGAGUCGAGAGGGUUCGGCCCUCGGCUGACGGCUCAGUAACACGUGGAUAAUCUGCCCUAUGGUGGAGGAUAACCUCGGGAAACUGAGAAUAAUACUCCAUAGGUCUAGGAUGCUGGAAUGCACCUAGGCUCAAAACUCCGGUGCCAUAGGAUGAGUCUGCGGACUAUCAGGUUGUAGUCAGGGUAAAGACCUGACUAGCCUACGACGGAUAUGGGUUGUGAGAGCAAUAACCCAGAGAUGAUAUCUGAGACACGAUAUCAGGCCCUACGGGGCGCAGCAGGCGCGAAAACUUCACAAUGUGCGAAAGCGCGAUGAGGGAAUCCCAAGUGCUUGCACGUAAGUGUAAGCUGUUUUUAUGUUUAAAACGCAUGGAGAGUAAGAGCUGGGUAAGACGGGUGCCAGCCGCCGCGGUAAUACCUGCAGCUCAAGUGGUGGCCACUAUUAUUGGGCCUAAAACGUCCGUAGCCUGUUUAAUAAAUGCCUGGGUAAAUCGUGUAGCUUAACUAUACGAAUUCCGGGUAGACUGUUAAACUUGAGACCGGGAGAAGUUAGAGGUACUCCUGGGGUAGAGGUGAAAUUCUGUAAUCCUAGGGGGACCACCGGUGGCGAAGGCGUCUGACUAGAACGGGUCUGACGGUGAGGGACGAAGCCCUGGGGCGCAAACCGGAUUAGAUACCCGGGUAGUCCAGGGUGUAAACGCUGCUUGCUUGAUGUUAGUCGGGCUCCGAGCCCGAUUAGUGUCGGAGAGAAGUUGUUAAGCAAGCUGCCUGGGAAGUACGGUCGCAAGGCUGAAACUUAAAGGAAUUGGCGGGGGAGCACAGCAACGGGUGAGCGUGCGGUUU